ACACACACACACAUUUUAGCCCAUUUGGCCUAAAUCUUUAAGUCUAUUGUUUCCUUAUUUAUUUUCUGUCCUGUUGAUCUGUCAAAUGAUGAGAACAGGGCGUUGACAUCCCCUGCCACAAAUAUGUUUUUUUCCAAUAGAUUUGAUACUUUUUAGGCUGUUGUAGAUAAUGCUGGUAAGAAAUUUAUUACAUAAAUACGCUUGGUGCUUUCUAAAAGUCAUACAAAAUGACCUAAAACACAUCGCUCUUUUCCUUUUUUGCUUGGAAAAGAUGUCAAUCAUGGAUAUUACAUCAUUUGAGAGACACUGGUACAAGAAUGUAUGCCAAAAACAAGUUGAAAUAGGAACAAGCUUGCAGAUAAUUUAAAUAAUCCAAUAUGAUUAGUAAGCAUAAAGUGUGUGCCUCAUGCAGGCUGAAAACUAUUUUGCUUAACUUGCAUAUUGCUUUACAAAAACAGAUAAAAAUGAGAAGAUCUGACACCAACUUCCUUACUUAUUCUCAUACAGACAAUAACUGCUUUCAACUAGAGCUGAGUUAUGACUGCCUCCUUUAGAUGGCACGUGUAUUCUUCAGUUUGUCUUGGUUUCUUUCAGAUGAAGGCAUUGAAGCUUGCACAAGUUCUCCUGACAAAGUCAAUAUAAAUGACAUCAUCCUGAUUGCUCUCAAUACAGACUUGAGAACAAUUGGCAAGAAAUUCCUCCCCAGUGACAUCAAUGGUGGAAAGGUAGACAAGGUAAUGAAAUGUGUUGAUGUCCUAAGUUAUACAAACCACAAUAAAUAUGAACAUCUAUUAAAUUACUGCAAUUUUUUUUUUUUGUCAAUAGAAACAGCAACUACAAAAUAUUUGGAGGUAAACAGGUCACAGAGUCAUCAUAGUGACUUUCUAUAUACGUGGAUAUACAUGGAAAAUGAUCAAGAU